GUCCGGGUGGUGAAAUUGGUAGACACGCUACUUUGAGGGGGUAGUGAUCAUAACGAUCGUGUGAGUUCGAAUCUCAUCUCGGACACUA
rnacentral:tRNA from 2 species